rnacentral:misc_RNA from 1 species
UCCGUUUUGUCAACGGCAGUCUCAAUAGAGUGCUCGGCCGAACCGCUAGCAACUAUCGAUAAGGGUUGCGCUCGUUACGGGACCUAACCCAACACCUCGACUGGACCCCCUUGCGGGGUAGCGAUGUUUCCACCGCCGUUAACCAGCCGUUCGAGCCCAGGUAAGGUUCUUCGCGUUGCGUCGAAUUGAACCACAUGCUCCACCGCUUGUGCGGGCCCCCGUCAAUUCCUUUGAGUUUCAGCCUUGCGACUGUACUCCCCAGGCGGCAUAUUUAACGCGUUAGCUCCGGCACAGAUCAACUGAAUGACCUACACCAAAUAUGCAUCGUUUAGGGCGUGGACUAC